CCCUCUCUCCUUCAUCACACAUAUCUGAACUUGAAGCUCUUCUAACCCUUCUAGUCCCAGCCCUUUUCAUUCCCUCAGUCGCAUCUCCAUCAUCCCCCGUUGCUACCGCUCCCUCCGUGUUCCUCAGCCUCUCCUUCUGCCGGAUUUUCUCUCGCAGGGAUUCGAUACGAGACAAAGGCUUGCCGAUCCUCCAACUAUCCCUCCUCUCCACACCUUUCCCUCCCUCUCCUUCGCAGCUCUGGUCGUCGUCGCUUUGGAGGCUUGGCCUUUUGUUCUCUAAUACCUCCUCCGCACCGUAGAACACUGUCCUGGGUAUGUGUCGCUCAAGUGACGUUGGAGGGAUUCCAACUGAGGCAAUGUGCUUUGGAGACUUGGGAGACUCAGGGGUCACUUCCUGGACGGACAUUUCGGGGCAGACGUGACUGUGCACGUGUGUGCCAGACUCUUCAUCCAGCCAAGGCCCUGUGACGUCUGGGUUGAGUGGUGAUUCACUUCCCAGCUGCACCAGUGUAGCACUGUCUGGGUCACUCACAGCAUCAGAAGGGGACCUGCACUCCUUGACUUGGAGGGGGCCCUCUCUUUCCUUGUCCCCGAAACUCUCCUGUUUCAUUCUUCUCCUCUGGAUGAUCCCUCGCUUCCAAACAGGCAUGCUGGCGAGUUUGGCCUCCUCCUCUUUUUCUCUCUUCUCUCGCUCCUCCUCCUCCCUCCUCUUUCGCUCCAGCAGGAGUUGUUUCCAUUCCGGUAAAGAGGAGACAGACAUAACAGAGAAGAGCUUUUGCUUUUGGCAAGAUUCCUAAUCGUCCUCUCGUUUGAUGCUCUGGCAACAGUUCUGUCAAAAAGGACAUAGCAAGAUGUUCAUAAAAAAUAUAAUAACCAUAUGUUGUGAUUUAAUUUGUAUAGCAUAUUCCUUGUGACUCACUUUGCUUUCAAAUCCGAAUAGAUGUUUUUAUUGAAAUGUAGCUUACUAACAGGUCUACUUUGUAUAUUUCUAUGACAUCAUGUAUAGAGGCUAUGUAACUCAACCACGUAGCCUAUUUACUGGAUUACAUUUUACACAGGCUUCAUGGUUACUUUCCCUAAUCGUAAAAAUUUAACAUACCAUCGACGCAUAGUUAUUAUGGAGAGAUUUCAGUGCCAACAGAAAUGGCAUGUGAAUUCCAUCAUUUUGCACAAAUUGAAUCAUUUAAUUAAAACAGGGAAUGGAACGGCUGUCCUUAGAAGGGCCAUGACAGGGCUAUUCAACUACAUUCUUAUGUGCGACAAAUUGAUCAUAGAGGAAAACAGAAGGCAUGUCCAUGUUCCAGAGAGUCUUAGCUUUCAGGAAUGGGGUUAAAAUGCUAGAGCUUAAAUUAUUGUUAAUCUAACUGCACUGUUCAAUUUACAGUAGCUAUUACACUGAAAUAAUGCCAUGCUAUUGUUUGAGGAGAGCGCACAAUUAUGAAAUUUGAAAAUGUAUUAAUAAACCAAUUAGGUACAUUUGAGCAGUCUUGAUACAAUAUUUUGAACCGAUAUGCAAUGGUUCAUUGGAUCAGUCUAAAACCUGUAACAUACACUGCUGCCAUCUAGUGUCCAAAAUCGAAAUUGAGCCUGUGCUGGAAUAAUACAUUAUGGCCUUUCUCUUGCAUUUCAAAGAUGAUGGUACAAAAAAAUUAUGUUUUUUCUUUGUAUUAUAUUUUACCAGACCUAAUAUGUUAUAUUCUCCUACAUUAAUUUCACAUUUCCAAAAACUGCAAAGUGUUUCAUUUCAAAUGAUAUCAAGAAUAUGCAUAUCCUUGCUUCAGGUCCUGAGCUACAGGCAGUUAGAUUUCGGUAUGCCAUUUUAGGCGAAAAUUGAAAAAAGGGUCACAUCCUUAACAGGUUUGUAACAUGCACACUAUGCCUCUGCACAUAGCUGUACGUUUGCACUCCAAACGUUCCCCACAAUUUCGCACUCCUUGUUUUAAACCUGGGUGCAAAGGAUGUUAAAAAAUCGUCCUCCAAACUUACCAAAUCCUUGGUGUUCCGCAGUAAUGCUUUAUAUCCCCCUCUGUGUCGGUUUGAGAGUUUUCAUCUUCUGAAUGAAGAGCGACUGUGUACCUCCCGUCGUGCGUAAUGCGCUCGAGAUACUACCUCGAAGGUUGUUCUGUAUCUAGCUUCCGAUGUAGUUGAUUAAUCGAUGUCAAAAAGUCAGGAUUAAUAAUGUUUAUAUGGUUCCGUUAUUUAAAGAUGACCUCGCAGUGAAUAAGUGUAUAUUCACUUAAAACACCUCCAUUGGUAGAAAAUAUUCCCCGGCUGCAGUGCUGUCCGACAACUGUAAUCCUAUAAUUACAUUAAAUCCCGUCAGGGGAGUUAGUGGCACACACCAUAUUGGCCGACCUAAUAAAAGGCGUUUAAAGAAGACUCCGGUCUGCCGGUCACCCACCCCUCAUCCCUACGUCCCACUAAUUGGAAGAGAGAGAGAGGAAAUAAGGAGAGAAGGGGGUCACCGCAGUCAGACCGUGAUGCUGACAGUCAGGAGUGAGGUGAUGAGAGUUACCCGAUGUGAUGUGAAAAGCUUCAACCCGUCGUCCCGGGUGGAAUUCAUCGUAAAUUCUGGAUAACAUCAAAGUGGCCUACACUAGGAUACAUGCUCAGGAAAUCAAUCAGUCUGUUAUGUAAGAUAAUCUUCAGGCUCAGCUACAGUAGUUAGCCCAGAUCAGACAGUUGAGGAAUCAUGCAUAAGAGAAUAGCCUAGACUACAUCAAUGUUAAGAGCCUAAAUCAAAGUUAAAGUAACUCUAAAAAAUACAUGUACAACGCUCCCGCACACUGACUCUGUACCGGUACCCCCUGUAUAUAGGCUCGCUAUUGUUAUUUUACUGCUUCUCUUUAAUUAUUUGUUACUUUAUUUCUUAAUUUUUGGGGGAUUUUUCAUAACUGCAUUGUUGGUUUAAGGGCUUGUAAGUAAGCGUUUCACGACUAACAUUUGAUUUGAAAUGUAUUACUGCUUGCAUUUAUUGACAUUUUGUUGUAGUUGCUUAUCAUUUGUUCCAGUGCAAUAUCUUAAAUGUAUCCAUGUUUGUUUUGUUAUUGUAAUUAAAUCUAUAUAAAAUAACGAAACAAUGAAUAACUUCUCCUUUCGAUCAUCCAUGUUGACAAUACAACGAAUCCCCUGGAAUGAAUUCAGCUAUUCAAGUCCUCUUACAUUGAUUUACAGCAGCAAUUACUGCAACACAAAGGAUAUAUCAAGGGCACAGCGCAAUAAAACAAGGAUUAUGGAGAGAAAAGGAUAAAACAAA
ensembl:lncRNA